AGCACACCUAAAUUGCACAGAUUGCACCCAGGCAGCCGAAGCACACGCCCCCACCCACACGGCAGACGCCACCAGCACCGUGGAGGCUUUGUGCAGUAAUCUACAGUGGCUGCGAGGUAAUAUUACAGCAUUGAGCGCGAGGAGCCAUAACCACCCCCGAUUGGAACGUAGUUGACCGCGACGAGGAGGACGCAACAUCAACGGGGGCGAGGCACCGACGACCGUCACCUUGAUUGCGGCCAAGAUGGGGGCGAGACGCCGGCCACUCGUUCGCUUCUCCUCCAACCGGUGAUCGAGGUGGAUGAUUCCAGGUGCGGGCACUAGGAUCUCUGCUGUUGGAUCGAGGUGCGGGAGAUUAAAUUCAGUCUCUAACCUCCCGAUCGAGACUCAGACUCUGCUGUUGUAUCAUGUUGGAUCUUGUUCGGGGAUGAGACCGAGGUUCGAGUUCGAUCCUGGCCGACGGGGUGAGACGCAUGCUCUCUAGCCCCCCGCAGGUUUUACUCAUUCGAUCCUGCUGUCGGCCAUCCUCCAAGCGGCGUGGGCAUCAAGUUCGGCUUCAACACCCGCACCAUCCAGAUACACUAUUGCGAGCCAACUGCCCCCAUCAAAUUCGUCCAAGGUCAUCCUGUCUCCUCUCAGAUCUCGUUGGUCUCUCCAUUCUUGGUGCCUGAUUAAGCACAAGAUUAUUAAUAGACACCAUCGCUCUGACGGGAUAUAUGGUAUUGUUGGUUCGAGCGCGUCUCUCGGUCUUUGGUUCAGUGUCAUCUAUGACACCAUCGCUCGGCCGGGCUAUCUGGUGCGAGGAAGCGCCAUCGGAGAACCCAGUCCGCACGAGUAGCCAUGGAGGCGGCUGGCGGGAGUGAUCGUCCGAGCAAGGUGGAUCCAGCAUCCCGGUGUAGAGGCGCCUCAGCGGAGCACCCUGACCCACGUAAGGUCACGGUGGAAUCAUCUCGUCUGGGGAAGCAAUCAUGGUUCUGAUUGUUCAUAUUGAUUUUGAUAGCAGGGGAAUUCACUUUGUACAUGAGGGAAAUUGAGAAGACACUGAAUCAUCUUUACAUGUUCGGUCACAAUAAAACUCUAUUCUGAAUUGACUUCUGAUUUCAAAUGCCCUGCAGGAUGCAGCAGAAGAUAUCCUGCAAGAAUACCAAAAAGGCUGCAGUCGAGAGACAAAGCUGGGAACAUAGGAUGUCCGGAUGCUGACGUAGAGGCUUCUCACUCUGUCCAUUUCUGUUGUCUAGUUCCUUCAGCUGUUUAUGUCAGAAGUGGCAUGUGAUCUUCUGUGAGCAUAUGCCUUUUAAUUGGUUAAGAAAAUUGUACUAAGCAUAAAACUAAGUUUGUUUCUGAAUUGUGACUAUUGAUGAGCUCCAUGAUCUAUGAUAAAGUAUUGCCAGAAGAUGGUUGUAAUCUUGGUAGAAAGAAUGGUAUCCUGAUA